rnacentral:rRNA from 1 species
UUAAGCGACUAAGCGUACACGGUGGAUGCCCUGGCAGUCAGAGGCGAUGAAGGGCGUGCUAAUCUGCGAUAAGCGCCGGUAAGGUGAUAUGAACCGUUAUAACCGGCGAUACCCGAAUGGGGAAACCCAGUGUGAUUCGUCACACUAUCAUUAACUGAAUCCAUAGGUUAAUGAGGCGAACCGGGGGAACUGAAACAUCUAAGUACCCCGAGGAAAAGAAAUCAACCGAGAUUCCCCCAGUAGCGGCGAGCGAACGGGGAGGAGCCCAGAGCCUGAAUCAGCAUGUGUGUUAGUGGAAGCGUCUGGAAAGGCGCGCGAUACAGGGUGACAGCCCCGUACACAAAAGCGCAUGUGCUGUGAGCUCGAUGAGUAGGGCGGGACACGUGGUAUCCUGUCUGAAUAUGGGGGGACCAUCCUCCAAGGCUAAAUACUCCUGACUGACCGAUAGUGAACCAGUACCGUGAGGGAAAGGCGAAAAGAACCCCGGCGAGGGGAGUGAAAAAGAACCUGAAACCGUGUACGUACAAGCAGUGGGAGCACAGGUUUACCUGUGUGACUGCGUACCUUUUGUAUAAUGGGUCAGCGACUUAUAUUCUGUAGCAAGGUUAACCGAAUAGGGGAGCCGGAGGGAAACCGAGUCUUAAUUGGGCGUUAAGUUGCAGGGUAUAGACCCGAAACCCGGUGAUCUAGCCAUGGGCAGGUUGAAGGUUGGGUAACACUAACUGGAGGACCGAACCGACUAAUGUUGAAAAAUUAGCGGAUGACCUGUGGCUGGGGGKGAAAGGCCAAUCAAACCGGGAGAUAGCUGGUUCUCCCCGAAAGCUAUUUAGGUAGCGCCUCGUGAAUUCAUCUCCGGGGGUAGAGCACUGUUUCGGCUAGGGGGCCAUCCCGGCUUACCAACCCGAUGCAAACUGCGAAUACCGGAGAAUGUUAUCACGGGAGACACACGGCGGGUGCUAACGUCCGUCGUGAAGAGGGAAACAACCCAGACCGCCAGCUAAGGUCCCAAAGUCAUGGUUAAGUGGGAAACGAUGUGGGAAGGCCCAGACAGCCAGGAUGUUGGCUUAGAAGCAGCCAUCAUUUAAAGAAAGCGUAAUAGCUCACUGGUCGAGUCGGCCUGCGCGGAAGAUGUAACGGGGCUAAACCAUGCACCGAAGCUGCGGCAGCGAACGUAUCACUUAAAGCGAUUCAGCGGGUUACGAUUGACGGAGCGAAGCGACGUCAAAGCGUAUACAAAGUCGAGUCGGUUUAAGGAUACGUUCGUUGGGUAGGGGAGCGUUCUGUAAGCCCGUGAAGGUGGCCUGUGAGGGUUGCUGGAGGUAUCAGAAGUGCGAAUGCUGACAUAAGUAACGAUAAAGCGGGUGAAAAGCCCGCUCGCCGGAAGACCAAGGGUUCCUGUCCAACGUUAAUCGGGGCAGGGUGAGUCGACCCCUAAGGCGAGGCCGAAAGGCGUAGUCGAUGGGAAACGGGUUAAUAUUCCCGUACUUGGUGUUACUGCGAAGGGGGGACGGAGAAGGCUAUGUUGGCCGGGCGACGGUUGUCCCGGUUUAAGCGUGUAGGUGUGUGUUCCAGGUAAAUCCGGUUCACUUUAACACUGAGGCGUGAUGACGAGGCACUACGGUGCUGAAGCAACAAAUGCCCUGCUUCCAGGAAAAGCCUCUAAGCAUCAGGUAACAUCAAAUCGUACCCCAAACCGACACAGGUGGUCAGGUAGAGAAUACCAAGGCGCUUGAGAGAACUCGGGUGAAGGAACUAGGCAAAAUGGUGCCGUAACUUCGGGAGAAGGCACGCUGACACGUAGGUGAAGUGAUUUACUCACGGAGCUGAAGUCAGUCGAAGAUACCAGCUGGCUGCAACUGUUUAUUAAAAACACAGCACUGUGCAAACACGAAAGUGGACGUAUACGGUGUGACGCCUGCCCGGUGCCGGAAGGUUAAUUGAUGGGGUCAGCGCAAGCGAAGCUCCUGAUCGAAGCCCCGGUAAACGGCGGCCGUAACUAUAACGGUCCUAAGGUAGCGAAAUUCCUUGUCGGGUAAGUUCCGACCUGCACGAAUGGCGUAAUGAUGGCCAGGCUGUCUCCACCCGAGACUCAGUGAAAUUGAACUCGCUGUGAAGAUGCAGUGUACCCGCGGCAAGACGGAAAGACCCCGUGAACCUUUACUAUAGCUUGACACUGAACAUUGAGCCUUGAUGUGUAGGAUAGGUGGGAGGCUUUGAAGUGUGGACGCCAGUCUGCAUGGAGCCGACCUUGAAAUACCACCCUUUAAUGUUUGAUGUUCUAACGUGGACCCGUAAUCCGGGUUGCGGACAGUGUCUGGUGGGUAGUUUGACUGGGGCGGUCUCCUCCUAAAGAGUAACGGAGGAGCACGAAGGUUGGCUAAUCCUGGUCGGACAUCAGGAGGUUAGUGCAAUGGCAUAAGCCAGCUUGACUGCGAGCGUGACGGCGCGAGCAGGUGCGAAAGCAGGUCAUAGUGAUCCGGUGGUUCUGAAUGGAAGGGCCAUCGCUCAACGGAUAAAAGGUACUCCGGGGAUAACAGGCUGAUACCGCCCAAGAGUUCAUAUCGACGGCGGUGUUUGGCACCUCGAUGUCGGCUCAUCACAUCCUGGGGCUGAAGUAGGUCCCAAGGGUAUGGCUGUUCGCCAUUUAAAGUGGUACGCGAGCUGGGUUUAGAACGUCGUGAGACAGUUCGGUCCCUAUCUGCCGUGGGCGCUGGAGAACUGAGGGGGGCUGCUCCUAGUACGAGAGGACCGGAGUGGACGCAUCACUGGUGUUCGGGUUGUCAUGCCAAUGGCACUGCCCGGUAGCUAAAUGCGGAAGAGAUAAGUGCUGAAAGCAUCUAAGCACGAAACUUGCCCCGAGAUGAGUUCUCCCUGAGACUUAGAGUCUCCUGAAGGAACGUUGAAGACGACGACGUUGAUAGGCCGGGUGUGUAAGCGCAGCGAUGCGUUGAGCUAACCGGUACUAAUGAACCGUGAGGCUUAACCUU